rnacentral:rRNA from 1 species
CCCUGGCUCAGGACGAACGCGGGCGGCGUGCCUAAUACAUGCAAGUCGAGCGAAUCUUUGGGAGCUUGCUCCCGAAGGUUAGCGGCGGACGGGUGAGUAACACGUGGGCAACCUGCCUAUAAGACUGGGAUAACUUCGGGAAACCGGAGCUAAUACCGGAUAAUCCUUUUCCUCUCAUGAGGGAAAGCUGAAAGACGGUUUCGGCUGUCACUUAUAGAUGGGCCCGCGGCGCAUUAGCUAGUUGGUGAGGUAACGGCUCACCAAGGCGACGAUGCGUAGCCGACCUGAGAGGGUGAUCGGCCACACUGGGACUGAGACACGGCCCAGACUCCUACGGGAGGCAGCAGUAGGGAAUCUUCCGCAAUGGACGAAAGUCUGACGGAGCAACGCCGCGUGAACGAUGAAGGCUUUCGGGUCGUAAAGUUCUGUUGUUAGGGAAGAACAAGUAUCGGAGUAACUGCCGGUACCUUGACGGUACCUAACCAGAAAGCCACGGCUAACUA